GUACAUUCUAGCAUCUUGGACACAUCUAACAAAGUGAUCCGAGGAAGGUUUUCUUUUGUUUGUCUUGAUUUGGUUGCGGGCUUUCUAUCUUCUCAUCCAGUUUUUGGCCUUUGAUCAGUCAUCUGUACAGACCCUUUUAUGUAAGUCCGUAGACGGAGUGUAAUUACAUACAGGCAACUCGCCUACAUAUGAUUAAAGAAACAGAGAGAAAAAGAACGGGGGAAAAGAGAGUAAAGGAGGAUUAACCAGCUGAUUGGAUUCCUAUUGUUGUUUUUGCGUGUGCAAAUGGUAUAUAAUAAGUUUUCUGUGUUUCUGUUUUCUAAUGUAGUAACUAUAACUCGAUGUGAUUGCAAUGAAAAUUGUUCUAGUUUUUGUGUGCAUAUAUUUAUCAUUUUUUUCUAUUUUGUCUUCCUUUUGUUAACUCUAACCAAACUCCACUAACAAAAGUGUGACAAUUCUGCAUCAGAAAGAGGAAAAAAACAGAAGCUCGAGAAGGAACGUUUCAGUACUUCUCGAUCUUCAUAGCUCUUGGGAGCAAGGACAAAACGCAAAGAAAACACCACCAUAGAUGAAAGGAGAAUUAGGAUACCUACGUGACUCGCAUCAUUGCAGCUUCUUCAGCUCUCUCCAUUUCUUCCAUGUGCCAGAGAUACCUUUCUUCCCUGACAGAAAUGCAAGAAAGUAAAGAAGAGAAAUAAAAGGAAAGGAAAUGGAAACGUUCUUACCCACAAAGGAUGGAAAAACAACUUGUGUUGUUGCAGUAGCAUCGAAGAAAGCCUCCAGAUCUCCAAUGCUCUCUUUCUGAGUUUGUUUCUCUCGUGUUUUGGGGAAGAAGGGUCCUAAGGAUUCUGUUAUUUGGUAUGGUGGACUCAUAGUGGUGGUGGUGGAGGACAUCUGGAAAAGUGCAAUGAUGAAGAAAGCAAGAGGUACAAGUAAAAAUUGUUAAAGAAGGAGAGGGAAGCUCAUACAAAAUAAAGUGCACUCAUUGGCUAUAUAACUUUCUCGAGGGAAGGUUUAGUUGACUAUUUUGACCACUUUGUCCACCUGAAUUCAAAUGGCGUCAUGAUCUUCGUAUCGAG
rnacentral:lncRNA from 1 species